rnacentral:misc_RNA from 1 species
GUUUUGAAGGCAAGAAAGAAAACAUUUGGCUAUGUCUCUUAGUAAGGACCUUAUAUUCUUGAUAUUGCAAUUCUGCAAAGAGGAGAACUUCACGAAAACUGCUCGCAUGUUAGGGCAGGAGUCAGAGUUAUUCUUUGACAUGGGACAUAUUGAAGCUCUCGUUCUCGGUGGCAAGUGGGAUGAAAUUGAGAACUAUCUUUCAGGUUUCACUGGUGUCACUGAAAGCAGAUAUUCUAAAAAAAUGUUUUUCGAGAUUAGGAAACAGAAGUUCCUUGAGGC